CCUACGGGCGGCAGCAGUGAGGAAUAUUGGUCAAUGGCCGCAACUCUGAACCAGCCAAGUCGCGUGAGGGAUGACGGUCCUAUGGAUUGUAAACCGCUUUUGUCAGGGAGCAAAGGGCGCCACGUGUGGCGUUUUGCGAGUACCUGAAGAAAAAGCAUCGGCUAACUCCGUGCCAGCAGCCGCGGUAAUACGGAGGAUGCGAGCGUUAUCCGGAUUUAUUGGGUUUAAAGGGUGCGCAGGCGGACUGUUAAGUCAGCGGUAAAAUUUCGGGGCUCAACCCGGUCGUGCCGUUGAAACUGGCGUUCUUGAGUGCGCGAGAAGUAUGCGGAAUGCGUGGUGUAGCGGUGAAAUGCAUAGAUAUCACGCAGAACUCCGAUUGCGAAGGCAGCAUACCGGAGCUCAACUGACGCUGAUGCACGAAGGCGUGGGUAUCGAACAGGAUUAGAUACCCUUGUAGUC
rnacentral:rRNA from 1 species